AGUGAACGCUGGCGGUAGGCCUAACACAUGCCAGUCGAACGGCAGCACAGUAAGAGCUUGCUCUUACGGGUGGCGAGUGGCGGACGGGUGAGGAAUAUAUCGGAAUCUACUUUUUCGUGGGGGAUAACGUAGGGAAACUUACGCUAAUACCGCAUACGACCUACGGGUGAAAGCAUGGGAUCUUCGGACCUUGCGCGAUUGAAUGAGCCGAUGUCGGAUUAGCUGGUUGGCGGGGUAAAGGCCCACCAAGGCGACGAUCCGUAGCCGGUCUGAGAGGAUGAUCAGCCACACUGGAACUGAGACACGGUCCAGACUCCUACGGGAGGCAGCAGUGGGGAAUGUUGGACAAUGGGCGCAAGCCUGAUCCAGCCAUACCGCGUGGGUGAAGAAGGCCUUCGGGUUGUAAAGCCCUUUUGUUGGGAAAGAAAAGCAGCAGGUUGAUACCCCGCUGUUCUGACGGUACCCAAAGAAUAAGCACCGGCUAACUUCGUG
rnacentral:rRNA from 1 species